AGUGAACGCUGGCGGUAGGCCUAACACAUGCAAGUCGAACGGCAGCACAGUAAGAGCUUGCUCUUACGGGUGGCGAGUGGCGGACGGGUGAGGAAUACAUCGGAAUCUACUUUUUCGUGGGGGAUAACGUAGGGAAACUUACGCUAAUACCGCAUACGACCUACGGGUGAAAGCAGGGGAUCUUCGGACCUUGCGCGAUUGAAUGAGCCGAUGUCGGAUUAGCUAGUUGGCGGGGUAAAGGCCCACCAAGGCGACGAUCCGUAGCUGGUCUGAGAGGAUGAUCAGCCACACUGGAACUGAGACACGGUCCAGACUCCUACGGGAGGCAGCAGUGGGGAAUAUUGGACAAUGGGCGCAGGCCUGAUCCAGCCAUACCGCGUGGGUGAAGAAGGCCUUCGGGUUGUAAAGCCCUUUUGUUGGGAAAGAAAAGCAGCAGGUUAAUACCCCGCUGUUCUGACGGUACCCAAAGAAUAAACACCGGCUAACUUCGUG
rnacentral:rRNA from 1 species